rnacentral:misc_RNA from 1 species
AAGGAUCAUUAGUGAAUAAACUUGUGUGGGUUGUUGCUGACCUCCUCGGAUGUAUGUGCACGCCUGCCAUUGUUUCAUUCCCCUUCCACCUGUGCACUUUUUGUAGACCCAGCUGUCACUUUUCGGGUUGCUUGCAUCCUGGUUAUGAGGAUUUGCUCCGGCUGUCCUUGGAUGGUGGUGGUCUAUGUCUUUUAUCAACUCUGUAUGUAACCGAAUGUUUGUUCUGGGUUCUAUACCCAUAAAAUCUAUACAACUUUCAACAACGGAUCUCUUGGCUCUC